UGGAGAUUUUAUAAAGUAUGGUGAUAAUUAUUAGGAAAUCAUGAAAAUAAUCCUGGCAGAAUGUGCAAAAAAUAGUGUGUUUAAAGAGUUAA